rnacentral:rRNA from 1 species
GCAUAUCAAUAAGCGGGAGGAAAAGAAACCAACAGGGAUUGCCCUAGUAACGGCGAGUGAAGCGGCAACAGCUCAAAUUUGAAAUCUGGCUCUUUCAGGGUCCGAGUUGUAAUUUGCAGAGGGCGCUUUGGCUUUGGCAGCGGUCCAAGUUCCUUGGAACAGGACGUCACAGAGGGUGAGAAUCCCGUACGUGGUCGCUAGCUAUUGCCGUGUAAAGCCCCUUCGACGAGUCGAGUUGUUUGGGAAUGCAGCUCUAAAUGGGAGGUAAAUUUCUUCUAAAGCUAAAUACUGGCCAGAGACCGAUAGCGCACAAGUAGAGUGAUCGAAAGAUGAAAAGCACUUUGGAAAGAGAGUCAAACAGCACGUGAAAUUGUUGAAAGGGAAGCGCUUGCAGCCAGACUUGCUUGCAGUUGCUCAUCCGGGCUUUUGCCCGGUGCACUCUUCUGCAGGCAGGCCAGCAUCAGUUUGGGCGGUGGGAUAAAGGUCUCUGUCACGUACCUCUCUUCGGGGAGGCCUUAUAGGGGAGACGACAUACCACCAGCCUGGACUGAGGUCCGCGCAUUCGCUAGGAUGCUGGCGUAAUGGCUGUAAGCGGCCCGUCUUGAAACACGGACCAAGGAGUCUAACAUCUAUGCGAGUGUUUGGGUGUCAAGCCCGAACGCGUAAUGAAAGUGAACGGAGGUGGGAACCCGCAAGGGUGCACCAUCGACCGAUCCUGAUGUCUUCGGAAGGAUUUGAGUAAGAGCAUGGCUGUUGGGACCCGAAAGAUGGUGAACUAUGCUUGAAUAGGGUGAAGCCAGAGGAAACUCUGGUGGGAGGCUCGCAGCGGUUCUGACGUGCAAAUCGAUCGUCAAAUUUGGGCAUAGGGGCGAAAGACUAAUYCGAAACUAUCUAGUAGCUGGGUUCCUGCGAAG